rnacentral:rRNA from 1 species
GACGAACGCUGGCGGCGUGCUUAACACAUGCAAGUCGAACGGAAAGGCCCUGCUUUUGUGGGGUGCUCGAGUGGCGAACGGGUGAGUAACACGUGAGUAACCUGCCCUUGACUUUGGGAUAACUCCAGGAAACUGGGGCUAAUACCGGAUAGGAGCUCCUGCUGCAUGGUGGGGGUUGGAAAGUUUCGGCGGUUGGGGAUGGACUCGCGGCUUAUCAGCUUGUUGGUGGGGUAGUGGCUUACCAAGGCUUUGACGGGUAGCCGGCCUGAGAGGGUGACCGGCCACAUUGGGACUGAGAUACGGCCCAGACUCCUACGGGAGGCAGCAGUGGGGAAUAUUGCACAAUGGGCGGAAGCCUGAUGCAGCAAUGCCGCGUGCGGGAUGACGGCCUUCGGGUUGUAAACCGCUUUCGCCUGUGACGAAGCGUGAGUGACGGUAAUGGGUAAAGAAGCACCGGCUAACUACGU